GUCUGUAUGAAGUUAUAUGGAGUCUAGCCUGCCCACUGAAUAAUUUAAAGGCCGCAGUAUAUUAACUGUGCAAAGGUAGCAUAAUCAUUAGUUUUUUAAUUGAAGGCUUGUAUGAAUGGUUGGACAAAGAAUAAUCUGUUUCUGUUUUUAUUUUUGAAUUUAACUUUUAAGUGAAAAGGCUUAAAUAAGUUUAAGGGACGAUAAGACCCUAUAAAUCUUUAUAUUAAGUUAUUUUAAGUUAAUUAAUAUUGUAGAUAAAAUAAUAAGAUAGUGUAUAUUGUGUUGGGGUGAUGAGAAUAUAAUAGAUAACUGUUCUAAAAUUAUAACAAAAUUUUUUGUAAAAUUAGAGGAUCCUUUGUUUAAAGAUUAAAAGUUUAAGUUACUUUAGGGAUAACAGCGUUAUUUUUUUUGAGAGUUCUUAUCGAAAAAAAAGUUUGCGACCUCGAUGUUGAAUUAAAAUUUCUUUGCGGUGUAGUUGUUGCAUGAGAGAGUCUGUUCGACUUUU
rnacentral:rRNA from 1 species